CUUCCGUAGGUGAACCUGCGGAGGGAUCAUUACACAAAUAUGAAGGCGGGCUGGAACCUCUCGGGGUUACAGCCUUGCUGAAUUAUUCACCCUUGUCUUUUGCGUACUUCUUGUUUCCUUGGUGGGUUCGCCCACCACUAGGACAAACAUAAACCUUUUGUAAUUGCAAUCAGCGUCAGUAACAAAUUAAUAAUUACAACUUUCAACAACGGAUCUCUUGGUUCUGGCAUCGAUGAAGAACGCAGCGAAAUGCGAUAAGUAGUGUGAAUUGCAGAAUUCAGUGAAUCAUCGAAUCUUUGAACGCACAUUGCGCCCUUUGGUAUUCCAAAGGGCAUGCCUGUUCGAGCGUCAUUUGUACCCUCAAGCUUUGCUUGGUGUUGGGCGUCUUGUCUCUAGCUUUGCUGGAGACUCGCCUUAAAGUAAUUGGCAGCCGGCCUACUGGUUUCGGAGCGCAGCACAAGUCGCACUCUCUAUCAGCAAAGGUCUAGCAUCCAUUAAGCCUUUUUUUCAACUUUUGACCUCGGAUCAGGUAGGGAUACCCGCUGAACUCAAGCAUAUCAAUAAGCGGAAGAC
rnacentral:rRNA from 1 species